rnacentral:tRNA from 1 species
GGACGGGUGGCCGAGCGGUUAAUGGCAGCAGACUGUAAAUCUGCCGACGAGAGUCUACGGAGGUUCGAAUCCUCCCCCUUCCACCA